rnacentral:sRNA from 1 species
UAACCUACAGAGGGAGAGUCAGAUCGGC